rnacentral:lncRNA from 1 species
GAUCCAUCUCUCCAGGCAGCGGCGAGGAGUUCGCGGCCCUCCCCGCCCCCUACCCUUGGCCGCGGCCCCUGCCCUUGCUGCCCGCGCACGCCUCCCGCAGCCUCUGGCCCCCCAUCUGAAGGACCCCGCUGAGAGUCCCGUCGACUUCUCAAAGUAAAAUGUGUCUGGCGCUGGGAAGCCGCGGAGCGCCCGGCCGGGACUACUUUCCGCUGCGCGGAGGAGUACGGGCGCGCUAAGACUCCAUACAAAGAGGAAACUAAUUGGGGGAAACUCGCUGCGCCCCCGCCUUUCCCAGGGGACGCGGGGCUGGCGGGGGCGGGGGCCGCGGCGCGGGGGACGGGCUUCCCAGGCGGCCGCCUCCCCUGGCGCGAGCUGCGUGGGGACUCGGGUCUGCGGUGCUGCCCGCUAAUUGGGUGGGGGAGGCCGGGGCCCCCGGGGUGGCUUGGGUGCGGGGUGCGCCGCGGCUUCAGAGGCCCAAGGGAGGGUCCCCGUGGGUCCCCGGGGCACAGAGUCCCGGCGUGGGGACGCCCAAGCCGCCUGGGUGGCCGCUGAAAGAUGAAUGAAGGGGCCCAGUCGUCCUGGGGCGGGGGUCCAGGAAGGGUAAAGAGGAAGAAGCUAUUUUCAUCCCAAGCUCUCGGCACGGGAGGAGGGUCAACUUCUUUCGGGGCGAGGGCAGCCACUUUUCCGGACCUGCCGCCCGCCCCGCCUCCCUACUCCCCCCGGCACCCCCACGAGGGAGAACACGGGGUGCGGGCGGGUGGGGUAGGCUGAGGCUAGCCUGAGAGCCGCUGCCUUGGAGAGGGACCACCGGGCAGCCGUACAGCUGUUAGGAGGCUGAGGAGUGUAACUGCCUUGGAGGUCCCGGUGCCCUACCCCCAGCCAACCCUGAAACUACGCGCCCUUCGUAAUUAGACCAGUGGAGGUCUAUACGGAAAAUCUUUUUAAAGCAGGGAAGGCUAUUUUUCUUUUAAGUUACUUCAAACCUGAGCUUAAUUUGGGGACUAGCUCUGGAUAUAAAUAGCUACAGGGAGAAUUUGGGAGUUUUAUGGUUUUAAAGCCUGAGUAAAUAAGCAGGGUUUUGUCUUGAACAUUUUCUGCAGCAUGAACCAUUAUUAACUUUAUUGAAGAGACCACGUUCACUUCUGCCUAAAUGGCCUUUAAGAAACAGGGCUGGGAGCCCUCCUGGUAUAGAAGCCCUUCCCCCACCAAGUUCAGGUGGGGGACUUAGACUUUUAGACUCUCCUCAAAAGUACGUCCCUCUCCUUGGAGUGCCCUGGAUGCUGCAGGUGUGUGCCCCAAUACACCCUGUCAGCUGGCCUGGGCAGGGUACAGAACCGGGGUGGCAUUCCCGGGGCUGGGCCACCGGCUAAGGCCUCUGACUCAUCCGGAGGUGAGCCCUGUGUGAGGAAUGAGGUCCAGAACACGCUGCCCCGCUCGCUUGGUGUCUACAAAGUUCUGCCACGAGACUAGAAGGAUCAACCUACAAGGGCACAAAGGUGAUACUGGGUCAUUAAGGCAAUAGGGAUAGCAGAGCACACAAGGCCGCCCUCUCCACCCACCAGCCCCCAAGGCUGAGGCCAGGCUGGGCUACCAGUAGGGGCGCAGCAGUGGACUUGACAAGCAUUCUUUUUUUUUUUUUUCCAACGAAUAUUAACACUUAAUAUGUGCCGGGCCCUGUUCUAUUUUGUCUGACCCUAAUGCUACACCGAUACUGUAUUGGCCUGAAGCUCUCAGAUUUACC